CUGAUCAAUAAAUAUUGAUCAGAACAUUGGCGGGAAUCUCCCUGUUCUUCAAUGAGAUCUGUUAUGGCAAGUGGGAACAAGAUCUAGUUGAUUUAAAAACUCACCCAAUUGCUCAGUUUAGUUGAGUUUUUAACACUCCAAUUUUCUUCUGAAUGUGAGUUCAUUUACAACUGUUGCCUUCACUUUUCGUCAUUCAUCAUGGCAAAUCUAAUUUCUCAUAUUGAGGAGGUUUUGCAGCCUUCCUAAAUCCUGGAUUAGAAAGACAUAAAUGCCUUGUGCGGGGAGCUCUUUCAACGUGGGAAUGUUGCAGCAUGUCAGUGCACACACAGACAGAGGGUGGCAAAGAAACUUCAAUGACUGGGGUUCUCCCUCCUGCUGCAGUCUUCAUCUAUCAUCGCAGCUAUUCAUAUCAGACAAAUACCUUCUGCCUGGAUCACUGUCGAAGAUUUGUUUUGGAUUGCGCUUUGUCUGGUUCCUCCUCUCCGACUUUACCGUCAUGGGUGGCCCUGCUAGGAGUUGAGAACUCCUGACUGCUUCGCACCUGGGAUCAACUGAAUACUCAAAUCUCCCCGUUGAAGCAAGUUGGCAAUCCAUGAAAAGGAGUCAUUAGAACCUUUAUAACAUGGCACAAGAGCCCAGGCCCUGCUUUGGCCCUUUGAGAGAAGGAUUACAUCAGUUCCAACUCCAAAAGUUAUAUUCUAACUUUGUUUCCAAAUUCUUCAUGCUUUUCAGUCUUCAACAUAUC